rnacentral:rRNA from 1 species
CCUUGUGCUCUAAGGUGAGCCUAUGUCAGAUUAGCUAGUUGGUGGGGUAAAGGCCUACCAAGGCGAUGAUCUGUAGCUGGUCUGAGAGGACGAACAGCCACACUGGGACUGAGACACGGCCCAGACUCCUACGGGAGGCAGCAGUGGGGAAUAUUGGACGAUGGGGGCAACCCUGAUCCAGCGAUGCCGCGUGUGUGAAGAAGGCCUGCGGGUUGUAAAGCACUUUCGGUGGGGAAGAGAAGCGCAUAUUGAAGAGGUGUGCGUGGAGACGUUACCUACAGAAGAAGCACCGGCUAACUCUGUGCCAGCAGCCGCGGUAAUACAGAGGGUGCGAGCGUUAAUCGGAGUGACUGGGCGUAAAGGGCGCGUAGGCGGUUAUAUUAGUCUGAUGUGAAAGGUCUGGGCUUAACCUGGGAUUGGCAUUGGAGACGGUAUAGCUAGAGUCUAAGAGAGGGAAGUGGAAUUUCCGGUGUAGCGGUGAAAUGCGUAGAGAUCGGAAAGAACACUCGUGGCGAAGGCGGCUUUCUGGCUUAGCACUGACGCUGAGGCGCGAAAGCGUGGGGAGCGAACAGGAUUAGAUACCCUGGUAGUCCACGCUGUAAACGAUGAGAACU